UACGUAGGGGGCGAGCGUUGUCCGGAGUUACUGGGCGUAAAGGGCGCGUAGGCGGUUCGGUCAGUUUGCAGUGACAGUGCUCGGCUUAACUGAGCAAGGCCUGGCAAAGACGGCCGAACUUGAGGACCAGAGAGGGACAUAGAAUUCCGGGUGGAGUGGUGAAAUGCGUAGAUAUCCGGAGGAAUACCAAAGGCGAAGGCAGUGUCCUGGCUGGUACCUGACGCUGAGGCGCGAAAGCUAGGGGA
rnacentral:rRNA from 1 species